UACUUAAAUAGUUUAAUAAAAAUAUUGAUUUGUGGAAUCAGAGAUAUUAAUUUAAUUUUAAGU
rnacentral:tRNA from 1 species